AACUUUCGGCAAUGGAUCACUUGGCUUUUGCAUCGAUGAAGAACGCCGCGAAAUGCGAAACGUAAUGUGAAUUGCAGAAUUCAGUGAAUCAUCGAAUCUUUGAACGCAUCUUGCGCCCCUUGGUAUUCCGAGGGGCAUGCCUGUUUGAGAGUCAUGAAUACCCUCAAUUCAUAUUUUUGUGUGAAUUGGACUUGGACGCUUGUCGUAGUGACUCGUCCUAAAUAGAUGAGUGGUUUCAUUUGGGUGACCCAAUGUGAUAAUUCGUUUAAGCAUUGUUUGAACCUCGAGAGUGACCGCUUCCAACCGUCCUUUGGGACACUUUCAUGUCGUCUGACCUCAAAUCAGGUAGGACUACCCGCUGAACUUAAGCAUAUCAAUAAGCGGAGGCU
rnacentral:misc_RNA from 1 species